rnacentral:rRNA from 1 species
UACGAAGGGGGCUAGCGUUGUUCGGAAUUACUGGGCGUAAAGGGCGCGUAGGCGGUCCUUCAAGUCAGGCGUGAAAGCCCCGGCUCAACCUGGGAACCGCGCUUGAGACUGGCGGGCUAGAGUUCGGGAGAGGAUGGUGGAAGUUCCAGUGUAGAGGUGAAAUUCGUAGAUAUUCGGAAGAACACCAGUGGCGAAGCGACUGACUGGACAAGUAUGACGCUGAGGUGCGAAAGCGUGGGAGC